UUCUUGCACUGGAAAGUUGAA
rnacentral:piRNA from 1 species